rnacentral:rRNA from 1 species
GCCAGACUCCUACGGGAGGCAGCAGUGGGGAAUAUUGCACAAUGGGGGAAACCCUGAUGCAGCGACGCCGCGUGAGCGAUGAAGUAUUUCGGUAUGUAAAGCUCUAUCAGCAGGGAAGAAGAUGACGGUACCUGACUAAGAAGCCCCGGCUAACUACGUGCCAGCAGCCGCGGUAAUACGUAGGGGGCAAGCGUUAUCCGGAUUUACUGGGUGUAAAGGGAGCGUAGACGGCGAUGCAAGCCAGAUGUGAAAGCCCGGGGCUCAACCCCGGGACUGCUCUUGGAACUGCGUGGCUGGAGUGCAGGAGGGGCAGGCGGAAUUCCUGGUGUAGCGGUGAAAUGCGUAGAUAUCAGGAGGAACACCGGUGGCGAAGGCGGCCUGCUGGACUGCAACUGACGUUGAGGCCCGAAAGCGUGGGGAGCAAACAGGAUUAGAUACCCGCGUA